UUUCACUUUUGGACUUCUAAGGAGUUGAGGGCUAAAAUGUACAUCCAAACCAUUAAACCAGGCCCCCGAAAGAUAACAGGUUUUGGGUCUCUCUCCCAAACCCAGAAGUAUUAUCUCAUUUCCACCCCCACAGACCUGUAAGAAGGAGGUGCAUGCGUGCUAAGUCGCUACAGUCGUGUCCGACUCUGUGACCCCAUGGACUGUCGCCCACCAGGCUCCUCUGUCCAUGUGAUUCUCCAGGCAAGAAUACUGCAGUGGGUUGCCAUGCCCCCCUCCAGGGGAUCUUCCCGACCCAGGGAUCGAACCCGUGUCCCCGGCAUCUCCUGCUUUGGGAGGUGGGUUCUUUACCACUAGUGCCUCCUGGGAAGCCCCAAGAAGGAGAUACUUUAGUUCUUGAAUACUUUCUGACUUGUAUCUUUUCUCUCUUCCACACACGCAAUAAAUUCUGCCUGAAAGCUAAUGUACCACCAGGCUCCCUUGAGGAGCAUUUGCCAAAAGCUGCUUCCCACAGACCUCCCCGGCCUGCCUGGAGGCUUUCUUGGUCAAUACCUGGCAAGGCUGCGGCCCUGCUGGGCCAAAGGCUCUGUCAUCCCUUCCCCUUCCAAACAUCCAGUGGACCGCGAUGCUAGCUUUCCAGAGUCAUCAGCAAGACAUCCUGGCAGGAGAUCUGGCUUUCCCGAGAAGUGGCAAUGAUGUCAUGUUGGAGGGGCCGCCUUACAGUGGGCUGUGCAGCCCCUGGCCUCUGGCUGAACUGCCUUGUCCUCUGCAAAGACCAUGUUCUCACAAGCAACAGAGGUGAAGGAAGCAGUCAGGAACCUAAAAACCUGUCCUUUCCCUUCAUAGCCCCACCCCUACCCCACUCCGUAGAUGCUGUUGGGAUGGAAGUUGGUAUAUUCAAGAAUUGUUAUAUUAAAAAUGUUUGAUAGGUCAAAACUAAAACACUUUAGCAGGAAAAAGAGAUGCAACUCAGGGACCCACUUGGGGAAAAGAUCAUUUUCCUCUUUCAGGAUUCAUCUUAAACCGAAACCAUGAAUGGGUGCUGCCUACAAUACGCAGAAAUAGCAGAGCUGGGGUGUCAGUAGGUGAAGUUAAGAGUGACUCCCGUCCCCGUACUCCGAGUGAGCCACGGGGAGAAUCUUGACUUCCCGUCCCCACCACCCUAGGCUUUGUGGGUCUCAAGGUCUGGGCUCCCAGCAGGGGGAUGGUUCCACCAGGAUACACAAGAAUCCCACUAAACUUUCAGCUCUAGUCGCUACCUGAUUGCUUCAGGUUCCUUGUGCCAAGAGAGCAGCAAGCAGGAAGAGAAGUCAACCUCCAGGCAGAUGAAUAAACUAUGACAUCAAGAGGAGACCA
ensembl:lncRNA